ACGGGAGGUAGCAGUGGGGAAUAUUGGGCAAUGGGCGAAAGCCUGACCCAGCAACGCCGCGUGAAGGAAGAAGGUCUUCGGAUUGUAAACUUCUUUUAUGAGGGACGAAGGACGUGACGGUACCUCAUGAAUAAGCCACGGCUAACUACGUGCCAGCAGCCGCGGUAAUACGUAGGUGGCGAGCGUUAUCCGGAUUUACUGGGUGUAAAGGGCGCGUAGGCGGGGAUGCAAGUCAGGUGUGAAAUCUAUGGGCUUAACUCAUAAACUGCACUUGAAACUGUAUCUCUUGAGUGCUGGAGAGGUAGAUGGAAUUCCUUGUGUAGCGGUGAAAUGCGUAGAUAUAAGGAAGAACACCAGUGGCGAAGGCGAUCUACUGGACAGUAACUGACGCUGAGGAGCGAAAGCGUGGGGAGCAUACAGGAUUAGAUACCCUGGUA
rnacentral:rRNA from 1 species